rnacentral:rRNA from 1 species
UACGUAGGGUGCGAGCGUUAAUCGGAAUACUGGGCGUAAGGCGUGCGCAGGCGGUUUUGUAAGCCAGGUGUGAAAUCCCCGGGCUCAACCUGGGAAUGGCAUUUGGGACUGCAAGGCUGGAGUGCGGCAGAGGAGACUGGAAUUCCUGGUGUAGCAGUGAAAUGCGUAGAUAUCAGGAGGAACACCGAUGGCGAAGGCAGGUCUCUGGGCUGACACUG